rnacentral:rRNA from 1 species
UACGGAGGGUGCAAGCAUUGAUCGGAAUUACUGGGCGUAAAGGGCGCGUAGGCGGUCUGAAAAGUCAGAUGUGAAAUUCCGGGGCUCAACCCCGGAGCUGCAUUUGAAACUUUCAGACUUGAGGUUGGUAAGGGAAAACAGAAUUCCACGUGUAGCGGUGAAAUGCGUAGAUAUGUGGAAGAAUACCGGUGGUGAAGACGGUUUUCUGUACUAAACCUGACGCUGAGGCGCGAAAGCUAGGGGAGCAAACAGG